GCCCGGUUGGCUCAGUCGGUAGAGCGUGUGACUCUUACUUUACGACUGCUUCAUCACAGUUGUAGAUAAGUUAUCUCAAGGUCGCGAGUUCGAGCCUCGCAUUGGGCU